AUUGAACGCUGGCGGAAUGCUUUACACAUGCAAGUCGAACGGCAGCACGGACUUCGGUCUGGUGGCGAGUGGCGAACGGGUGAGUAAUACAUCGGAACGUGCCCAGUCGUGGGGGAUAACGUAGCGAAGGCUACGCUAAUACCGCAUACGAUCUAAGGAUGAAAGCGGAGGAUCGCAAGACCUCGCGCGAUUGGAGCGGCCGAUGGCAGAUUAGGUAGUUGGCGGGGUAAAGGCCUACCAAGCCUGCGAUCGGUAGCUGGUCUGAGAGGACGCCCAGCCACACUGGGACUGAGACACGGCCCAGACUCCUACGGGAGGCAGCAGUGGGGAAUUUUGGACAAUGGGCGCAAGCCUGAUCCAGCCAUGCCGCGUGCGGGAAGAAGGCCUUCGGGUUGUAAACCGCUUUUGUCAGGGAAGAAAAGCCUUGGGUUAAUACCCUGGGGUGAUGACGGUACCUGAAGAAUAAGCACCGGCUAACUACGUGCCAGCAGCCGCCGUAA
rnacentral:rRNA from 1 species